rnacentral:misc_RNA from 1 species
CAUCAAAUCUGGACCAGUUAUUCCUUCUGGAAACCCUGGAAAAUUCUCUACUUCAGUGGUAGUCAUCAGCUGUCCACCAGGCACACCACCCAUUUGAUACCCCUCAAACACUACAGGUUUCAAAUUGGCACGAGCAGCAUAUAUGGCAGCUGUAUAUCCACCAGGACCUGAACCUAUAAUUACCACAUUCUCAACACCUUUGGCUGGGGAAGGCGGUGGCUCGACGGAAGAAGCCUUGACUCGGAGAG